CACAAUUCAGUGGAGGAUUUGAGUUAUUGCUGUGCGAAUCUCUGUCAGACAGCAAGUAAACUUGGCUUCAAACGUUUGAACUUCUCUUGGGAAGCGGUAAAUUUACUGCAGGAUUCCAGUGUGACUCAGCUUAAUUGAUACGCAGUCUUUUGGGAGAGGUUAGCUCUGAGAGUACAUGAUGUGCUCCUAUUGAAUACAUAUUAAGCACAUCGCCGUUCAGGUAUCAGGUUCCGCAUCAAAAUACUCAGUCAAAAACUUCCGAGACCAACGCUCAAAAUGAACGGAAUCAGAACUCUAUAUUUACCGAAAGCUGUCAGCCAGAGGAUAAGGGUGUCACUGACUAGGUCAGUAUUUAUUGACCAUCUCUAAUUGCUCAGAGGACCAAAUUCAUUGCUGCUGGUCUGGAGUCACGUAUAGGCCAAACAAGGGCACAAAUUAGGACUAUGAUGGAAUACUCCUCACUUGUCUGGAUGACUGCAGCUCCAACAACGUUCAAGAAGCUUGAAACCAUCCAGGACAAAGCAAUCCACUUGAUUAGCAUCACAUCCACAAACAUACACUCACUCCACCACCGCCACUCAGUAGCACCAUAUACAAGAGGCACUGCAGGAUUUCAACUAGGCUCACUAUGCAGCCUACAACCACUAUCAUCUAGUAAGACAAGCCAAACAGAGACAUGGGCACACUGUCACCUGCAAGUUCCCAUCCAAGCCGACACCAUUUUGAUUUGGAAAUAUAUCACCAUUCCUUCAGUGUCUCUGGGUCAAAAUCCUGGAACUCACGGAGCCCCUCACUGGCAUCAUCAGCACUUUGGAUGUGCCUACACCGAAUGGGCUGAAGCAAUUCAAGAUGACAGCUCACUAUCUUUUCUAAGGGAAUGCAGUGCUGAAGAGGAAUACAGAACAUCAGAUGUGCCAUGUCUUCACGUCUCUGAAGAGAAUUCAAGAUUUCCCUUGGAUAUGUAUUGAAUGGCUGAUAGAAGAUCAGGCCAUAUCUAUGGAUUACUCCAGCAAGCAUAACACUAACUUAACAUUGCACAAGGUAUAAAUUCCAUUGUUAGUACUUUCUGAAUAACAGAAUAAAAUUCAAAAGUUCCUAGAGAUUAAAUGAAGUCUAAUAUUUUUUACUACAGAAAUGAAAAUGACCAUUAUGAAGGUCUGAGGUGGAAUUUGGCAGUAGUGAAUUGGGAAAAUACAUUAAAAUGUCUGAUGGUAGAUAGACAAUGGAUAGUAUUUAAAGAUUUUAUUGGAAAAAACCUCAUACAUUCAAGCUGAAAUGCAUGGGUAUUUGGAAAAAUGUAGAACAGAGAAGAGGAUUAAGAAAUUGAUAAAGAAACAGUGAAUAGAAGAUUAAUGUAAAAUAACCAAAAAAAAGACAAUAAUAGCUUCUACUGGUAUGUAGAAAGGAAAAUGCUUGCAAAGGCAAUUGAGUCCAUAACAAGCAGAGACAGGAGAAAAUUUGUAAUAGGAAAUAAAGAAAUGAUAGAGAAGCUUAAUAAAUACUUUGUGCCCAUCUUGAUAGAGGAAUAUACAAGUUUCUGUAAAAUAAUUAAGAUCUAAGGGUCUGUGUUGACAGACUGGGAGGUUGUAAAUGUAAUGUUGUUUAAUCAAGGAUUGAAAGAGAAAAAAGGGAACCACAAACAUGUGAACCGAAUGUCACUAGUAGGGAAGAUGCUAGAAUUUAAAGAAGUGAUUAUUGAAUAAUUGGAAAAUGAUUAGACAGAUUCAACAUAGGUUUAUGAAAAUGAAAAUCAUAGUUAACAAACCUGACAGAUUUUUUUUGAGGAUGAUAUUCGCUGAGUUGAUGAGGGAAACUAGUUGAUGUGGUGAAUUUGGAUUUUCAGAAGGCUUUAGAUAAAGAUCCACACAGGAGGAGAGAAAAAAGAAUAAACUGCAUGGGAUUGGGAGUAACAUGGAUUGAGAAUUGGUUUAUAGGUAGAAAGUAGAGAGUAGGAACAAAUGGGUCAUUUUCAGGUUGGCAGGUUGUGAUUAGUGCUAGGGUCCCAACUGUUUACAAUCUAUAUUAACAACUUGUACAUGGGAGGAAUUUGUAAUUUUCCAUGUUUGCAGAUUAUUCAGCACAGUGGGAAUGUGUUGUGGUGCAAGCAAGGAGGCUUUAAUGUGAUUUAGACAAUGUGAUGAGUGAAGUGACAUAUAAUUUUUAGAGUCUGUAGUUUAAAACAGCAGCAUAGUUCUGUAAAAGGUUUUUAAAAUGUAACUAGGUCAGACUGUCCUUCCAGAACAAUGAGAAAAUCUAGUAUGUCAUAGAGCAGAGACCCAUGCAGUGUUAAUGGAAGAUAGUUUUUUUCAUUGUAUACAAAAACAGAAGUUACUGGAAAAGCUCAACAUAUCUGGCAGCAUCUGUGAUGAGAAAUCAGAGUUAACGUUUCAAGUCCAGUGACACUUCCUCAAAACUAGUUUUUAGUGCCAUGGUUUACAACAAGUGGGAUAACACUGAAGACCAGCGAUCUUACUGAAGUGUAAAAAAUAUUUAAAGGGUUGGAGAUUGUGGAACUGACAUUAUAAUUUAAAAGUGGGAUGUCAUUUAUUACUGAAAUUGUAAAUCUUUGGAAUUCUCUAUUCCAGUAAGUUUAAAGUAGAGAUUGAUAGAUUUCUGCUUACCAAUGGCAUAAAGAGUUAUGAGGAUAGUGGAGAUAAAAAGCACGGAAGUCUUCGAUCAACCACAAUCAUAUUAAAUAGCAGAGCAUGCUCAAUGGGCUGAAUAGUUUACUCCUAUUCCUAUUAGCUUAUUUUUGGUCAGGAUAAAAAGAAAACCCAAGGAUUGAAAGCUUUUAACCAGUUUGGAGGAGACCUAACUGGGGGCAAAAGAAAGGAGUUCAAAAGAAGUACAAUUAACUCAGUAGAAAUGUUUAGUUUGUGAAACUUCCAGACCAGGACCGUUUUACUUGAAAUCUGCAGAUUAUUGAAAGCUGAGAAAAUCUAAGCUUUCAGUUCUGAAAGUAUUCAUGUAAGAAUACUUCACAGUUUACAGGAAAAAUCUGGAGAGAAUUAAUUGAGUCAAACUUAAAGAUUUGAUAUAGAGGAGUUUUUUUUCAGAUUUGAAUUGCUACAAUAGAUAGUAUUGGA